rnacentral:rRNA from 1 species
UACGGAGGGUGCGAGCGUUAAUCGGAAUUACUGGGCGUAAAGCGCAUGCAGGUGGUUGGAUUAAGUCAGAUGUGAAAGCCCGGGGCUCAACCUCGGAACCGCAUUUGAAACUGGGUUCACUAGAGUACUGUAGAGGGGGUAGAAUUUACAGGUGUAGCGGUGAAAUGCGUAGAGAUCUGAAGGAAUACCGGUGGCGAAGGCGGCCCCCGUCGGACGAGAUACUGACACUCAGAUGCGAAGACGUGGGGAGCAAACAGGAUUAGAUACCCGCGUAGU